UGAAGGAUACUCCAGUUAUGUUCUGCAAUCUGUAUCAUUGUCCUACGUUCCUCUUAGUCAAUGCAAAUCUUCAGAAAAUUAUGUAGAAUCUGAAAAUCUUAUAACGAUGGAUAAAUUUUGUGCUGGUUAUACAAAUGGAACAUCUGUUUGCGAUGGUGAUAGCGGUGGAGGAUUGGUAUUUCAAACUGGAAAUGUAUGGUUUUUAAGAGGAA
rnacentral:lncRNA from 1 species